AAAGGAGCUCCAGCAUAUUUUGCUUAUAAGACACUACCCACAGGUAUGCAAUAUCCCUGUAAAUUUUCCCACCUCACAUCUUAUGAGAAAACAAUGGCUCUAGUUCAUUAUUUAAAGGAGUCAGUGUGAAUUCAAGUCAUUUCAUAUCCUGCUAUCAUUUGCUCAGAGAUCUUCUGCAAUGGGUCGUAUGUAGGAAGAAAUGCAGGGGUUGCACUGAUGAAGUUUAUUUAAAGRAACACAUACAAGAUAGAUCUGAAUGGCAACAUCGUUUAUGUAAGGGGAAACAGAAACCAUAAGUGCAUCACUUCAUUCAGGUGGACAAAAUACACUCUGGUACUCAACAAAGCCUUUUGCCUCACCUCUUACCACUGUCCCCUCCUUCACUGUCAUCCAGUCACAAUGACUUAUUUCCUGGUCUUUCAACUUGCCAAACACACUCCCUUCUUAGGGUCUUUGUUUUUGCUAGUCCCUCUACCUUAAACUCUUCGUGGAAUGUCACAUUCUCAUUCUACAGAACUUUGCUGAAAUGUUGUUAACUCUAWCAAGUCUUUUUUGGCCUCCAUAAAAUAACGUCCCCCUCACUUUUUACUCCUUUAGUAUUAUUUUUCUUAGGGGCAAUUACACACCCAGUACAUUACACAUUCAAAGCAUACUUUGUCACUUGUGUGAAACGACAGGCUCCAACCUGACAAGGAAAUGCGGGUUGCCUUUAUCUAGGACCCAGUAGGCAACAGGUAAAUGUUUCAAUGAAUGAAUAAGGCUCUUAACAGAAGUUUUCUCUUCUUUCGCUGUGAGCCUAAUUCUACCCUCUCCCUUUUUCAGCAGAGGUGGCUCACUGGAGUCAGGGGUUCAUUCGGGAUUGUAUUGCCACCAAACAGCGCCUGUGAUCCAGUUGUUCCGACCCUUGAGGCCCAGAGCCUGGGUAAGGACGGGUCUGCAGUCCCYGGAACGUGAAAGCGAAAGCAGAAGGGGACAACGUGCACUGGAGGGGAAACUCUCCGUGCGGAGGCAGCCCUUCCUCCUUUGGUGCCAGCCUGCGUGCAGUGGGGCCUUCCCAGCCCGGCUGACUCAUUCCCAGCCGCCUUCACGGCGGGCGGCGGCCACAUACACGCCCAUCUGGGGAGUGCCGGGACCAGUGCUGACACCGAGCCCCUGCCAGGCCCCGACGCUCAGCGAGCCGCCGCUACCUUAACUUCCUCGCGCGCUCACGCCGGGGGUUGCCCCGGGAAUCUCCACGCGCGCACACCAGCUUCCCGAGAGGCCUCGGUCCUGCGUGGCCCACCCUUUCCAAACCCCGGCGAGCGCCAGGAAAAGCGCAGCCCGCCGAGCGGCGCACGCGCAGUCAGGAGAGAGUCCCGCUGCCUCCUCGGCCCUGCCAGGAGCCUGCCUUAGUCCGCCGCCAACUGGCGGUUCGACUCGAGGCCAACGCGGAGGCUGAGUCCGACGCAAACAGGGCGUCCUAAGCAGUGUCGCCUACGGCGCUGAGAAGACGGUGUGGCUCGGGAAAGGGUGGAGACAACGUCWGUGACGGGCUUCCCGGCUGCCCAAAGUGGGAGUGGUGUGGGCUGCAGGAAGGAGAGAGGAAGAAGAGCCGAAGGGGGCAGCAGCGGCCGCCGCUAACGGCCUCCYGCGGCGCUGACAGGCUAGGCGGGCGCCCGGCGCUCUCCGGAGUUCGCGCCGCCGUGUCAGCCACCUCAGGCCCGUGGGCCCCUGAGCCUGGUCUUGCGGCACCCGUCGGGGCGGAGGGCUGCCGCGGCGCGGGGACAGGCCGGGUCCUCGCCGCCGAGGGAUGUGAGUGGGAGCCGAGCCCGCACGGGAGGGCCCGCGAGGGCCCAGCCUGGCGGACGCUCGGACCCGUGUUGGGUCCCGGGCUUCGCAGACCUUGGCCCACCGGAGGCACCGUGAAGGAGCAACUCUUUAGGGCUUGAGGACAGUCCCUUGUCGCCCGAUCCGCGCAGCCGGUUUCAGAAGCAGGCAACGGGAACAAGAUGUGAACUGUUUCUCUUCUGCAGAAAAAGAGGCCCUUCCUCCUCCUCCCGCGACAGUGGUUAUGAUAUCCUGGCUGCUGUCCUCUAUUGCUGCAGUAAGGGCAAUGUUCUGAGAAAGACUCUGCAUGGGAAUGGCUUGCCUUAUGAUGACAGAAAUGGAAACAACAUCCACAUCUCCUGUACAUCAGAAUGGUGAUAUUCCUGGAAACACUAAUUCUCUAAAGCAUAUAGAUCCAAUUCUUCAAGUGUAUCUUUACCAUUCCCUUGGGAAAGCUGAGGGAGAUUAUCUGAAGUUUCCAAGUGGAGAGUACAUUGCAGAGGAAAUAUGUGUUGCUGCUUCUAAAG